CCUACGGGUGGCAGCAGUGGGGAAUAUUGCGCAAUGGGGGCAACCCUGACGCAGCAACGCCGCGUGAAUGAAGAAGGCUUUCGGGUUGUAAACUUCUUUCAUCAGGGACGAAACAAAUGACGGUACCUCAUGAAUAAGCCACGGCGAACUACGUGCCAGCAGCCGCGGUAAUACGUGGGGGGGAAGUGUUAUCCGGAAUUAGUGGGUGUAAAGGGAGUGUAGGCGGGACCACAAGUCAGAUUUGAAAAUUAUGGGCUCAACCCAGGACCUGCAUUUGAAACUGUAGUUCUAGAGUGAUGGAGAGGGAGGCGGAAUUCCGAGGGUAGCGGGGAAAUGCGUAGAUAUACGGAGGAACACCAGUGGCGAAGGCGGCCUGCUGGACAUUAACUGACGCUGAGGCGCGAAAGCGUGGGGAGCAAACAGGAUUAGAUACCCUUGUAGUC
rnacentral:rRNA from 1 species